UGCGCGGUGCAUGCCGUGUGGUGGAAAGAUUUAUCGGUGCAGGAUGGGCCCGCGGCCUAUCAGCUUGUUGGUGGGGUAAUGGCCUACCAAGGCGACGACGGGUAGCCGGCCUGAGAGGGCGACCGGCCACACUGGGACUGAGACACGGCCCAGACUCCUACGGGAGGCAGCAGUGGGGAAUAUUGCACAAUGGGCGCAAGCCUGAUGCAGCGACGCCGCGUGAGGGAUGACGGCCUUCGGGUUGUAAACCUCUUUCAGCAGGGACGAAGCGUGAGUGACGGUACCUGCAGAAGAAGCACCGGCCAACUACGUGCCAGCAGCCGCGGUAAUACGUAGGGUGCAAGCGUUGUCCGGAAUUACUGGGCGUAAAGAGCUCGUAGGCGGUUUGUCGCGUCGUCUGUGAAAACCAGCAGCUCAACUGUUGGCUUGCAGGCGAUACGGGCAGACUUGAGUAUUUCAGGGGAGACUGGAAUUCCUGGUGUAGCGGUGAAAUGCGCAGAUAUCAGGAGGAACACCGGUGGCGAAGGCGGGUCUCUGGGAAAUAACUGACGCUGAGGAGCGAAAGCGUGGGUAGCGAACAGGAUUAGAUACCCUGGUAGUCCACGCCGUAAACGGUGGGCGCUAGGUGUGGGUUUCC
rnacentral:rRNA from 1 species